rnacentral:rRNA from 1 species
GAUGAACGCUGGCGGCGUGCCUAAUACAUGCAAGUAGAACGCUGAAGGAAGGAGCUUGCUCUUUCCGGAUGAGUUGCGAACGGGUGAGUAACGCGUAGGUAACCUGCCUGGUAGCGGGGGAUAACUAUUGGAAACGAUAGCUAAUACCGCAUAACAGUAGAUGUUGCAUGAUAUCUACUUAAAAGGUGCAAUUGCACCACUACCAGAUGGACCUGCGUUGUAUUAGCUAGUUGGUGAGGUAACGGCUCACCAAGGCGACGAUACAUAGCCGACCUGAGAGGGGGAUCGGCCACACUGGGACUGGGACACGGCCCAGACUCCUACGGGAGGCAGCAGUAGGGAAUCUGCGGCAAUGGACGGAAGUCUGACCGAGCAACGCCGCGUGAGUGAAGAAGGUGUUCGGAUCGUAAAGCUCUGUUGUAAGAGAAGAACGAGUGUGAGAGUGGAAAGUUCACACUGUGACGGUAUCUGACCAGAAAGGGACGGCUAACUACGUG